GGGGGAUUAGUUAAAAAAUAACAUUAGACCGUCAAACUAAAAUAACCAGAUAUUUGGUAUCCCCCU
rnacentral:tRNA from 1 species